rnacentral:lncRNA from 1 species
AAUACUGAUAUGACCAUAAAUAUUUUUAUUAAAUGUGAAAAUACACGGGCAUAAAAAUAGUACCCAUAUUUGUAGACAUGUCUGAGACCCAUUUCAAAUAUUAGGUUCCUUUUUUAUUAAAACACUACAUUGAGAUGGAUUAAGUUACUUAGUCUUUUCUCAUUCAAAACAAACUAAAACCUCACAGCAAGAGUAAUAUUUUCACAAACAUCUCCAAUGUUUACCUCCUCCUUGCUCGGCUUUCCACUGCAGGUAAGUGUUUCAGCCACAGACAAGUGCAACAAAACCGGUUACUAUACACAAAGCCACGCAGUGGCUAAUUUUACUCUUAAAUCAAUCAUUCAGCAAAUGAGAUCAUCUGUAAACAAACAAAAAAAACCCCCAAAUAAUCCCACCUCUUAACGUCAUUUGAAAUUACAGGAUAAACUGCCACUAACAAAAAAGGAAUGAUCUGAUUUAGAAAAAGGAUAUUCGUUGUUGGCAAAUUAACAUUUGCCUUCUUCCUUCCUUUAUAAAUUUGGAAAAGUCAACUACAUUCAACAAAGUUGCGUGAACUUCUCUAGGUGAUACCAUUGCUGUGUGCUCAGUGAAAACUUUGCAACGCCCAUCACCAGGGCCGUGUCUGUAACCUCACCAGGGAGCCAUUUUAUGUAGUUUUUUCAUGGUAAAUGUCAAAGACAACUUCUGACCCAUUUAAAGGUGAAAUUUUUCAUCAUCCAUUGUGAGUAGAAAAUGGUAUCAAUUUCAAAUUGUGGUUUUAUUGGCUACCUUUUUUACCAAGUUAUGUUUUCUCUUAAACUGUGGGUAGUUUUAAAAUUCCAUUAUCAGGGCAACAAAAAUUUGUUUUCAUACCAAUACUUUAAAAAAGAUUUUUAAUACUGACUAAAGAGAAAGGCAUUGUAGAAUUAGUAGUACGUUACAUCUGAUUCACAUUAGUAAACUGUCAAGAUUUUUUUCAAGUUUUCAUCUAUUCAUGGUAAGAAAGCACAAACUUUCAGAACUGAGGAAUGAAUUAAAUUUUGUCUCCCGUUUUGGAACCUUUUCACAAUGCUUCUAGACUGAUGUGUCUAAUACUUCCUGCUGGGCAAAAUAUCCACAAAGUACAGACCACUGAUAACUCCACCCAUGAAGCUCACCAAAAAGGAAAGAAGAGCAGAAUACAACAGCUGUGGCUAGGGUACGCCUCUCUGAUUUCACUUUUCCUGAAAGAGCCAUAAAGGUUACCUGAUGGCCAGGCGCAGUGGCUCACGCCUGUAAUCCCAACACUUUGGAAGGCCAAGGCGGGCAGAUCACAAGGUCAGGAGAUCAAGACCAUCCUGGCUAACACAGUGAAACCCCAUUUCUACUAAAAAUACAAAAAUUAGCCAGGCAUGGUGGUGCGUGCCUAUAGUCCCAGCUACUUGGAGGCUGAGGCAGGAGAACUGCUUGAACCCGGGAGGUGUCCCUGCACUCCAGCCUGGGCAACAGAGCAAGAUUCUGUCUCAAAAAAAAAAAAAAAAAAAAAAAAAGGUUACCUGGCACCUGUAGUCCCCAAGGGAAAAUGAAAGUAGUAUGGUUUUACAGUGGAUAAUGCUACCCUACAGUGAGACAGGCAGGGGGAAUGACUAUCUCUUUACACACCCAGGCUGCUUCUCAGUCACACAUUAGGGUAAGCAGGAGUGACUGUCUCUCCGUUUGGGUGGACACCAGAAAACUGCCGACAGCCAUCAAGGCUGAAACUCAACAGUUGUUACUUUCUUCAUGAAUCAGCGAAACAACAGAUUGCAGAGAAUUCAUUUCCCUCCAUGGCACUGGCAUGUGGCACCAGAGCUGCUUCUCUCUCUUCACUGAAAACAGGCAAGUAACUGCAGGUCAGUUAAGAUGACUAAGUAAAUCCAUGAUAAGAAUUUAGGAGCUGAAACUAUGGUUGUUACAAGUGGAGAAAAAAUGAAAAUGCAAACAAGCCUCUGGGCAGCAGGUGGGAGGUGGCCAGGCCCCCACACAUCUCCUGUGCGGCCCUUGACCCCUUGUUGUUGGCAACUGUCGUGCUCUCCAAGUGGAAAGUGACAGCCACGUUGACAGACCACAGAGGUGCAAACACAUGCACACUAAAGAUUUCACAGCUACUCACAAGUGACGAGACUGACCACAUCGAAGCACAGUUGUCCCUAAGAACAUACAGCUCAAAAAUGUUCAUGUUCUCUUUAAGAAUACUGAAGUAUAACCAUCCUCAUGAAGAUUACAGCUCCUUCUUACACUUGUAGGCACUGACUUACUCUGCAAGGCUGUGAAGAGAAGAAUCUCAGCUCCAGUGUAGAAAAAUAAUACAGAAUACGUGAGCACUUCCACGGGUGAGCCUGCCUCAGACCACUUCCCUCCAGACAGCAUAAAGCAGAUGCAGGCUGCUCUGUCAGAAAUAGAACCAUUCCUUGCCUCCUUGCCGUUGCAAACCCAUUAACCAUAAAUCUGACAGGGAUAAGAACAGAUUUUUUCCUAUUAAAGCAACUCUUUGGUCAUGGACAAACUGAAAAGAUUUGAAAUUUUUUUUCAUUAGGGUCCCGGAACAAGAUUUCUUUGUUUUUAAUCUUUAAAAAAAUUAAGAAGAGCAGAAAAACAGUUGGUUUAAUUGAAGUGGAAUUUAAAUCUAAAUGGUCCGCCUGAGCUGAAGGGAUUGAACCCUUGCCAUGAGUUCCAGCUUCUGUGGAAAGGGUUGCCGCCGCCUCCUUGCUGGCUCUCUGCAUCCAAAGGAUCUUCUCCGUCGUCAAACUUCUUUCUCAUUUCUAGAAAGAAAUCAGAAAAUUAAGAACCAGAUAAUAUCUAAGGUAUAGGGGCAGGGGGAAUGUUUUCUUUGGGCAGAGGAGGGUGGGUGGGCUUGAGGAGCUACUUACUUUUCGGUUAUCAAGAGUUGUGCCUGACAUUCAAAUCCAGGCUCUCCCAUUCCCACCCUGAAGAAACAGACUAGAGAAAUUUGCCACAAGGAGGGUGAGGUUCAGGGUUGAUAAUAGGUAUUUAUUGAGAUUCAGGCCCCUAAAUCUCACUCCAGAAGAAGCCACCCAAGCUUGAUAACUACCCAAUGAAAUUAUUUGGAAAAAAAUAAUUCAAGAGAAACUUCCAAGAGUCUACAAUUCUAAUGAAACAGCCAGCUCACCACCCUAAUCCCCAAAAUAAAGUCUGUAAGGCAAUGACCUCAUCAAGCAUCUAAUGAGCAUUCUAGCACUAAGGCUCCUCAGACAUGAGGGGAGCGGGGCCUCCAUAACAUACAACUCCAGGAGGUUCACCUUUCCCUCCCAUGCAAUUGGUGCCCCCACAGCGGGGCCUCUGAGCCCCGAACAGAGAGAGAUCAAUGCAGAGACAUGGGAGAAGGCAAUAAAGAGGAAUAUUGCAGGGAUAGGAAGAAAGAGCUCAUGUCCUCAGAGUCAUUAGAAAAACCCUGGAAGACAACCUAGGCAAAUACUAUUCAGGACAUAGGUAUGAGCAAAGAUUGCUUUUGGUGUUUCCAUCAUGAAAUUGCAACAAAAGCAAAAAUUGACAAAUGAGAUCUAAUUAAACUAAAGAGCUUCUACACAGCAAAAGAAACUAUCAACAGAGUAAACAGACAACCUACAGAAUGGGAGAAAAUUUUUGCAAACUAUGCAACUGACAAAGGUCUACAAAGAACUUAAAUGUACAAGAAAACAACCCCAUUAAAAAGUGGGCAAAGGACAUGAACAGACACUUCUCAAAAGAAGACAUAUAUGCGGCCAACAAUCAUAUGAAAAAAAGCUCAACAUCACUGAUCACUAGAGCAAAUAAUUAGAUCAUUAUUGCAAAUAAAAAAUGGCUAUUAUUAAAAAGUAAAAAAAAUAGAUGCUGCCAAGGUUGUGGUGAAAAAGGAACGCUUAUACACUAUUGGUGGCAGUGUAAAUUCAUUCAGCCAUUGUGGAAGACAGUGUGGCAAUUCCUUAAAGAAAGAAAUACCAUUCAACUCAGCAAUCUCAUUACUGGGUAUACACCCAAAAGAAUAUAAAUUGUUCCAUUAUAAAGACACAUGCACAUAUCAGUUUAUUGCAGCUCUAUUCACAAUAGAAAAGACAUGGAAUCAACCUAAAUGCCCAUCAAUGAUAGACUGGAUAAAGAAAAUGUGGUACAUCUACACCAUGGAAUACUAUGCAGCCAUAAAAAAGAAUGAGAUCAUGUCCUCUUGCAGGGGCAUGGAUGGAGCUGGAGGCCACUAUCCUUAGCAAACUAAUGCAGGAACAGAAAACCAAAUACCACAUAUUCUCACAAGUGGGAGCUAAAUGAUGAGAACUCAUGGAUGCAUAAAGGGGAACAACACACACUGGGGCCUAUUGGAGGGUGAAGGGUGGGAGGAGGGAGAGGAUCAGGAAUAAUAACUAAUGGGUUCUAGACUUAAUACCUGGGUGAUGAAAUAAUCUGUACAACAAACCCCCAUAACACACAUUUACCUAUGUAACAAACCUGCACAUGUACCCCUGAACUUACAAAAAAAAAAUAAAAAGACUUAGCAUAUAGCUAGGUUUUUUAAUAAAUGGAAAAUAGAGAAUGCAGAAAAAAAUGCAAAUAUAAAAAUAAUCCCAAGUCUCGCUUUGCUCUCUCACAGUAACUUGUCCUUUAGGGGUUCAAAGAUACUUAGAGAAAAGCCAGUUUACUUCAUUCUGGGAGGUUAAUCUGAAGCCACAUAUUUAGGAGGAGGAAACCCACCAGUAAAACUGAGGGUUCUUAUGCUGAGUGUUAAUAACUAAGCGGGUAUUGUAGGUGAUCUGAAACUCAGCUUUGUUUUAUAAAAGCUAAUGCAGUUAGACUCAGGCCCCAUAUCUUUGAUAUCUCACAGGCAAAAUUAAUCUAGGGUGUUAGCACUUAGAACAGUAGUGAACUCUCCGUAGGGGUGGGGGUGAUAAUGGCCCCAGAGAAAGGAUGCUGUGAAUGGAAGGGGAAGUGAAUUCAGCUAUAUUCACAUUAUGUAAUUACUUAAAAAUUCAGUGGAGUGGUCUGCAUACAUCUCAAAGAAUGAGGUAACCAUUUUUCAAUGAGAAAAAACUAUAGCCAAGAUUUAUUUCAAGUGAAAAUUAAGUUUCAGAUUGGCAUACAUCAUGUGAUUCUACUAAACAUAUUCCUAAAUAUGACACGUCUUGAUAUAUGCAUAGUAAAAAACUUUAAAGUCUUUAAAAGAAAAGAUAGUUCAUCCUGAACAGAAGAACAGGAGGUAAGAAAAAGGACCUGCAGCUCUUUCCUCAGUGCAUGCCUCUGUGCAGGGACACCCAUCCCCUUGGUUGGCUCCCUGGUACCUUAAAACGUAGCACAAAGUCCCUCUCACAUAAGAAGAUCCUGACUCCCAGUCUGAUACACUAUCACACCUGUGCACUGCACAAACUAAGAGGAUUGAACUGCUUAAGGCAGGUUGUAGCCACUCAGUAUUUGCUAAGUAACAGGACAGUAUGUAUCCAACACUACUUGAUAAGGGAAGUACAUUUCUGUCUCCUUUACUGGAUUAUAAAUUACUUGAAAACGAAGGAUCAUUUACUUUCAAUUCCACUGCAAGUACAUUUCUGUCUCCUUUACUGGAUUAUAAAUUACUUGAAAACAAAGGAUCAUUUACUUUCAAUUCCACUGCAUAAGUAAGUACUCAAAAAAGAUUUGACAAACAUAAAACUUUCCUCUCUUUUGUUUGUUUAGCUCAGAUCACAGCUGCUGUUCCCACUGACAUGGAAGGCCACAAAAAAGCAGUAUAAGCUUAACAUGAAAUUCUCUGGCAGCAGCAAAGCAUUGUUCAGUAUUACCUCAAUGCUUAGCCUGUCUCCCUCUUAACGAAAUUUCCAGGCCAUAUUACUGUAUGGCAAAAGAACACAUGUGGCCAGGUGCAGAGGCUCACACCUGUAAUCUCAGAACUUUGGGAAGAUCACUUUAGCCCAGGAGUUAAAGACCAGCCUGGGCAACACAGUGAGAUCCCAUUUCUACAAAAAAUAAAAAUUAAAAAAAAAAAAAACACAUAUAAGCCUGUGAAUCUAAUGAUCCUAUGAUUCAGGGCAAGAUUCCUGGUGAACACAUAUGGGGCAAAGCAGGCCCUAGGCCAGACAGCUGUUCUUCUCCCACUCCAUGUAAUCCAGCCUGGCAAGCUGGUUUCCUCAUCAAGCUCCUGUAAGCUUGGUGGAGAAAAUUCAUCAUUGACCUUUGAGGUUAGAGGGAACCUGAGAGAUCCUCUUAUGCUCAGUGUUGAAAAAACUGAGACCAAAAAGUUCUGAUAACUUCUUUGAGUAGAAAAAAGAUUCAAAUUCAGGCCCUCUGAUUCCACAUUUGAUAGUCUUUCCACUGUACCCUGCAACAGGAGGGUGCCCAACAUAAGAGGGCUGAAUGAGGGCAGGCAUAAAACUGGACCUCUGGAACUGGGCUCAGGACCCGUCACUGCCUAUACAGCCCCACGUGGAGAACCCACCACAUGUUCCACCCUCGCUUCUAACACCACCUCUAGGAUGAGUCAAAGGAAUAAAAGCUAAUAAUACCUGGAUCAGAGAGGACUUCUUUAGCAGCUGCUAUAUCAAUGAACUUUUUCUCAGCUUUUUUCUUUUCUUCUUCAUUCUGGAAGUUAUCUGGGUGCCACUGCAGUGCUAAUUUUCGGUAUGCUUUAAUAAUUUCUUGCUUUUUGGCAUUUCUGAGGGGUGGUAAAAUAAAUAAUCAUUAGUGGAAAAGUGUCUAACAUACUAUCAUAAAAAUCAGAAGAGCUGAUUAAGAUCCUACUGGCAAUUAACAAAACUGGUUUUAUAAAAUAGUUCCAAUGGUAUCACAGGCCAAAGAUCUGCAUACACAGUUCUGGAUGAUCAUUAAAGCUGACAUCAGGCUUCCUUGGAUACUCGCUCACUAAGAUUACUGAGAAUAAAGCACUCCUGAUCUUUAGAACUUUCCCUUUUUUAAAAAAGGUACAUCAAUGAAUUUUUUAACUUUCUGAAUUUCCAAGUUACCAUAAUUCAAUUCUUGGUAUUAAAAAAUAUUUGACUCUGAAUGCCACUUUCAAUUAUGCUUCUGCAUUAGCUUACUUAAUAGUAAGCACAAAGAUUCCAAAUUUUGAAAAAUUGAUGGUUUACUCAGCGAACCACUGGGAGGUAUAUCAUUUACUUAAUUUCAGAAUUCACCCACAGGCACUGGGAGGUGUAUCAUUUACUUAGUAUGUACUUUUAUAUAAGGUAGAUCUUAAUUUCAGACUUAAUUCUGAAAGCACUACUUUAUUUUUAG